AUGACGAUGGUUUGGCAUCGUGGACAUGAUCGACUUUUAAGGUUCAUGAGAACGAAUACCAAGAGACCCGUUAGAAGCCAUGUGGCAAUCCAGGUUUUUAAAGGAGUGGGUAGCAUUGAAGGUAGAAGUGGACAGAUGCGAGGACUGGUCUGGGCCAGGUUGGGUGGAUGCUCAGAUCGGUCCUUAGAUUGGCUAGAUGUGGCAGGGGGGACGGGGUGGGGACCAUCCGCGGGUCUUGGAAUGGCACUCAGUCACCCUUGCUUGGCCGCAGUGUGCUUUGUUAAGGCUCCUUUCCAUUUCGUCUUCUGCCUUCCGAGCCAGUGGUGGAGUUACACUCCGCUCAGUCUUGUUCUCCAGACUCAUUUCCAAGUUUAUUAUAAGAGUAUAUUGAACUACUUGUUCAGCCGGGUGUGAGCUGGUAUUGUUGGAUAGUUAGGCAGGGCUGUUAUUCCGUGAAGUACAAAUUCCUAUCCAGCGAGACCCACAUAGGCGCUUUCGAGCUGCCAACAUAGUCGCUCCUAAAGGCAGAGAGUUCACAUAAUUGGUCUCAUUUUUUUCAAAUGUAUGAUUCUCUGUCUUAGUGGCAGUGUCUUGAGUUUUCAUACAUUUGAUGGUAGUUUUUCAAUGAACACUGGUAGGCAGUUACAAACCAAUUGUAAUUGCAUUCAUUUUCAUCUCAUUCAGAAGGACGAAGGGAACAAAACUCUGCAGGCAGGGGCUGUGUUCAGAGCUCCAUUGCUAUCGGGAUUCCUGUCAUCAGGGCUCAGUUUCCAGCUCCUCUGAAAAAGCUAAUUCUGUUUCUUGAGGCAUUUACUUCCCCGGCAGACAUCUGGCUCCUUGCCAAGAGCUGUUGACAAUUAUUGCUUCUCCUGAGGCUGAUUAACAUGCAUUGUUACAAGGUCCCUAAGAAUAAUUUUGCUUACCUAUAUAAUAAUUUAAGAAUUUAAUCAUUUCCAAACAUGUCCUAAGUUAUUUAGUCCUUUGUCAGCAUCUCAAUUCAGGUCUAGAAGGUUUUUUUUUCCCUUUCCUUUUUUUUUUUUUUUUAAAGCAUUCUUUGAGGGCACAAUAGUGUGUUAAAAACAUUAAGGAGGCGCCUGGGUGGCUUAGUUGGUUAAGCGUCUGCCUUCAGCUCAGGUCAUGAUCUCAGGGUCCUAGGAUGGAGUACCGCAUCAGGCUCUUUGCUCAGCAGGGAGUGUGCUUCUACCUUUCCCCCUGCCUCUCAUGAAUAGAUAAAUAAAAUCUUUUAAUAAAUAAAUACGUUAAGGAAAGUGUUUCCAAGUAGGUUGAUUUUCUAAUAAUAGAAUUCUUUACAUUCUUGUGCUGCUUAAGAACUUCACAGGCAUCUCAUCUGAUGGCCAUAAUAGUCCCGUGAGGCAAAUUGAAGUAGUAUGUAUCCCCUUUUCACAGAGAAGGAAACUGAGGCCUUGGGAAGGCAGGGGUUUGCGUGGGUCCACAUAGCUCGUCAGCAUUGUCGGCGGGUCUGCCCCGGGAACUCGACCCACAAGGUCAGUGUGAUGUGGUCGUCG
rnacentral:lncRNA from 1 species